rnacentral:rRNA from 1 species
AAGCAGGGGAUCGCAAGACCUUGCGCUUUUGGAGCGGCCGAUGUCUGAUUAGCUAGUUGGUGAGGUAAAGGCUUACCAAGGCUUCGAUCAGUAGCUGGUCUGAGAGGACGACCAGCCACACUGGGACUGAGACACGGCCCAGACUCCUACGGGAGGCAGCAGUGGGGAAUUUUGGACAAUGGGGGCAACCCUGAUCCAGCCAUGCCGCGUGAGUGAAGAAGGCCUUCGGGUUGUAAAGCUCUUUCAGCCGGAACGAAACGGUCACGGUUAAUAACUGUGAUCACU